GAUGAAGACGUAGCGAAAUGCGAUAAGUAAUGUGAAUUGCAGAAUUCAGUGAAUCAUCGAAUCUUUGAACGCACAUUGCGCCCGCCAGUAUUCUGGCGGGCAUGCCUGUCUGAGCGUCAUUUCAACCCUCAUGCCCCUAGGGCGUGGUGUUGGGGAUCGGCCAAAGCCCGCGAGGGACGGCCGGCCCCUAAAUCUAGUGGCGGACCCGUCGUGGCCUCCUCUGCGAAGUAGUGAUAUUCCGCAUCGGAGAGCGACGAGCCCCUGCCGUUAAACCCCCAACUUUCCAAGGUUGACCUCAGAUCAGGUAGGAAUACCCGCUGAACUUAAGCAUAUCAAUAAGCGGAGGA
rnacentral:misc_RNA from 1 species